rnacentral:rRNA from 1 species
ACGCUCGACACCUACGGGGGCAGCAGUGGGGAAUAUUGCACAAUGGGGGAAACCCUGAUGCAGCGACGCCGCGUGAGUGAAGAAGUAUUUCGGUAUGUAAAGCUCUAUCGGCAGGGAAGAAAAUGACGGUACCUGACUAAGAAGCCCCGGCUAACUACGUACCAGCAGCCGCGGUAAUCUGAGCGGGCUGGCAAGGC